AAAUUGAAGAGUUUGAUCAUGGCUCAGAUUGAACGCUGGCGGCAGGCCUAACACAUGCAAGUCGAGCGGUAGCACAGAGAGCUUGCUCUCGGGUGACGAGCGGCGGACGGGUGAGUAAUGUCUGGGAAACUGCCUGAUGGAGGGGGAUAACUACUGGAAACGGUAGCUAAUACCGCAUAACGUCGCAAGACCAAAGUGGGGGACCUUCGGGCCUCAUGCCAUCAGAUGUGCCCAGAUGGGAUUAGCUAGUAGGUGGGGUAACGGCUCACCUAGGCGACGAUCCCUAGCUGGUCUGAGAGGAUGACCAGCCACACUGGAACUGAGACACGGUCCAGACUCCUACGGGAGGCAGCAGUGGGGAAUAUUGCACAAUGGGCGCAAGCCUGAUGCAGCCAUGCCGCGUGUGUGAAGAAGGCCUUCGGGUUGUAAAGCACUUUCAGCGGGGAGGAAGGCGUUAAGGUUAAUAACCUUGUCGAUUGACGUUACCCGCAGAAGAAGCACCGGCUAACUCCGUGCCAGCAGCCGCGGUAAUACGGAGGGUGCAAGCGUUAAUCGGAAUUACUGGGCGUAAAGCGCACGCAGGCGGUCUGUCAAGUCGGAUGUGAAAUCCCCGGGCUUAACCUGGGAACUGCAUUCGAAACUGGCAGGCUAGAGUCUUGUAGAGGGGGGUAGAAUUCCAGGUGUAGCGGUGAAAUGCGUAGAGAUCUGGAGGAAUACCGGUGGCGAAGGCGGCCCCCUGGACAAAGACUGACGCUCAGGUGCGAAAGCGUGGGGAGCAAACAGGAUUAGAUACCCUGGUAGUCCACGCCGUAAACGAUGUCGAUUUGGAGGUUGUGCCCUUGAGGCGUGGCUUCCGGAGCUAACGCGUUAAAUCGACCGCCUGGGGAGUACGGCCGCAAGGUUAAAACUCAAAUGAAUUGACGGGGGCCCGCACAAGCGGUGGAGCAUGUGGUUUAAUUCGAUGCAACGCGAAGAACCUUACCUGGUCUUGACAUCCACAGAACUUUCCAGAGAUGGAUUGGUGCCUUCGGGAACUGUGAGACAGGUGCUGCAUGGCUGUCGUCAGCUCGUGUUGUGAAAUGUUGGGUUAAGUCCCGCAACGAGCGCAACCCUUAUCCUUUGUUGCCAGCGGUCCGGCCGGGAACUCAAAGGAGACUGCCAGUGAUAAACUGGAGGAAGGUGGGGAUGACGUCAAGUCAUCAUGGCCCUUACGACCAGGGCUACACACGUGCUACAAUGGCAUAUACAAAGAGAAGCGACCUCGCGAGAGCAAGCGGACCUCAUAAAGUAUGUCGUAGUCCGGAUUGGAGUCUGCAACUCGACUCCAUGAAGUCGGAAUCGCUAGUAAUCGUAGAUCAGAAUGCUACGGUGAAUACGUUCCCGGGCCUUGUACACACCGCCCGUCACACCAUGGGAGUGGGUUGCAAAAGAAGUAGGUAGCUUAACCUUCGGGAGGGCGCUUACCACUUUGUGAUUCAUGACUGGGGUGAAGUCGUAACAAGGUAACCGUAGGGGAACCUGCGGUUGGAUCACCUCCUUACCUUAAAGAA
rnacentral:rRNA from 1 species